GGAGGGGUAUGUUUGCUUGUCUUUGCCUGAGCAAAAAAUGGGGGGACAUGACGUGUCAGGGUGGGGACAUGAGGGCAUGAGGCCUCCUGUCUCAGUCCUUCAAGGUCCAAAAAGAAAUGAGCUCAAGGUGCCAGCCACGCCUCCAAAUCCCAUGUACCAUCAUACUCAUCAGUCUACACCCCAAGAAGCCAUUGUGGCUUCAUCAAGCCUGGCCUGGGCAGGCUUGCUGGA